UACGGAGGGUGCAAGCGUUAUCCGGAUUCACUGGGUUUAAAGGGUGCGUAGGCGGGCAGGUAAGUCAGUGGUGAAAUCUCCGGGCUUAACCCGGAAACUGCCGUUGAUACUAUCUGUCUUGAAUAUCGUGGAGGUGAGCGGAAUAUGUCAUGUAGCGGUGAAAUGCUUAGAUAUGACAUAGAACACCCAUUGCGAAGGCAGCUCGCUACACGGUUAUUGACGCUGAGGCACGAAAGCGUGGGGAUCAAACAGG
rnacentral:rRNA from 1 species